GAAAGAAGUUCCUGAGUGGGAGGCAGUACAGCAGGGAGAGGUGAGAAUGAGCCUCCAGGAACCAGGACUGGAAAUUCCCACUCUGCUGAGGAAUGCAGAGGCAUUCCUGGAGCUGCACAGAAGUACAUUGUCGAAGCCGGGAUGUCCCUGGGGAAACAUAGGCCACUUCCAGCAUCGAUGGUGUCAGGUCAGGUCCUCUGGGUAGAAGAAAUGGAGUCAGUUAGGAGUGCUGGAGACUGAGUAAGAGGUGGCAGCUGAGGCUUACUACCCCAGGAAAGGGAUGCCACCAGAGAAGGCAGACAACCAAGAUGGCGACUCUCAAUUUUUGAGCUCCUAAUUUUCUCAUGUCAGACAUAAGAAAAAAAAAAUAUUUUUUAAAGAAAAAGCUUUAGGUUGCAAAAAUCUAGGCCUUUCAACUUUAAAAUCCUAUUCUUGCAAGCCUUGGAGAAUAAAGCUUAUGCAUAAACAGUAGAUUUGGAAACAGAAAUAUGCCUAAUUACCCAGAGCCAUUCUUUCAAUACGCCAGUGAUUGUUUAAAGAUUCUAUAGGCUGGAGUCAAUGGCAGGAGGCGGGUGGGAAAAGAGUCAAGAGGGAGGAGAGAAGAAGCAAGAGGGUUGGGUAGAUAUUGUCACAUGACCCUGAGAGGAGGAUUCUGGGUCAAACCCCUAGGGGGUUGUGUGUAAUGGAGACUCCAGAUCCAUUUGGGAAUCUGGCUCCAAAGAAGACUUCACCUUGCCUUCUGAGUGGAGCCCUGAAGUGGCAAGACUCAUAGAAUUCCCCCACGGGUCCACACGAGAGAGAAUGAAUAGAGAAGGCUGCGUGCUGGCUGGACCAAGGCAGCC
rnacentral:lncRNA from 1 species